CAUUGUCUGGGUCCUUACUUGGAAUGCAAAGUUUAGCUCCUAAAACAUGUAUGACACUCAUGCGGAGAGUUAGGAUCCUUACAAUGAUUAAUAUGAAAACCCAUCACCUGGGGGAACACCUAAUCAGCAGGAAGAGCUGAGAGAAGACUCACACCUGACACUUACCACUUUCAGAGAUUUGGCUCUUGCCUUCAGCUGCUUUAGAGGUAGCUUCAGGGAUAUCUCCCAAGGGGCCGAAGUGUGCACGUGGCUGUGUGUGUGGCAUAUAUCUUACUGCACCUUACUGAAACGGGCUCCCAAGGGAAUUUAGGCAGAACUAGUCAUUAUUUUGGGGUCACAAACAGGCAGGAGCCACUUCGACAUUUUGGGACUAUCUCCAAAGAGGCGCCUAGGUGUCCAGAGAGUUAGACAGGCAGACAACUAACAAUGUAGCUCCAAGGAUAACCGUCCCUGUCAUACGAGGACAUGCACGUAGGCUUGUGGGAUCACACUGGGGCCACUGAACAGGAGUAACUGCACCGUACCAGUGUGAGACAGGCAGAGGCAGAGGCUUUCUCUAGGGCUCGACAUUCAGGCCUGGCAAACAGAGGUCCCAGCCACUCUUCUCCACUCACCACAGCAAAGGCCUUUCUCUGAUGUUUCAUUUACACUUCUUUUUUGAUAUGAAUCUUCAUAAAAUGCUCAGGAACUCACAAUAUGUAUAAGAGUUUAUAUUAGUCUACUCUGUGUAUGUGAGUGUGUAUGUGAAAGUGAGCUGCACAAAAAUGAGCAACUGGAUUUACUCCUGGGAAAGGACAAGAUCAGUGGGUAAAACUGUGGGAGGUUGGUUGCCAUUUGAGAUUGCUGCAUGCUCCACUGGGAUCCCAAUGCGUCAUUUGUUUCCAGUUAUUUCUGAGACAUAUGGAUUUCAGCCUGAAGAGGGGUUAGGGUUGUCUCCUACUGCCAUGGACCGAAUUGGGUUCUCCUGCUCUUCCUUCCAAGGAUCAGCUGCCAUGAGUUUUUGUUUCCACACAUGAAACAUUCAAAAACUGCUUGCCUUACACGUUUUGGAACCUUCUAGCAUUAGAAUUAUUUUAACAUUAUCCUAUUCUACUUCAGGGUUAGCCUCAUUUCUUCUGUGGGGAUUGUUGCUUUCCUUUGGACCAGCAGAUCUCAGGGCAUUGGAGAUACAUUCAUUUUUCUCAGAAAUUCCUUUGAUAAUUCCAGAUAUCUCCACUAUUUUGUUCCAUUCCUUAAUUACUUCCAUUUGCAUUGUAUCUCAGUGCCUAGCUGCCUAAUGAUCCCAUCUUCAGAUGAGAAUGCAUGUUGGUUUGGUUUUAUUCCCUGCCUUCCCAGCAAGAUGAGCUCAUCAGAGCUGGAGCUUAUUCUUCAGAGCAUCCUUCCCUGAGCCUCUUCAAGGGGCUGCUGCCUCUCCUUGGUCUUGUGGCCACUCUCUGCAUGUGGCAGCAGAGAAGUCUUAAAGGGGUGCUUCUUAUUUGCCUUGACUUGCCAGAGCCAUACAGUACUCAGGGUAAAUCUUGCUUUAUCUUCACAGAAAAGACAAAGUCAGUUUGCACCAGCUGAACCCAGUCUUAGAGAAUUGCAGUAAACAGUGACCCAGCAAGGAAAUAAUCAAUUCUGAAAGAUUGGAUUUGGGCUUGUAGCAAGUCCCUGGGCUCCGAUUUGAAAGAAAAACAUCAAUAGGAAAACUGGAACAAUGGUAGAUUGGCGCUGUAAGUUCUGAACAUAUGCACAUGAAUAUCCAGUAAGAAAAAGCUGAAUGCUUCAUGAUUAAACAUGACAGAGUAGGGACAAAAUGAACUCUGGAGAUCAGAAAGACGUACAUAGAUGUUGGACUCUGUUUGCCCACAGGUAUAGCUCCAGAGAAACAGCUGCACAGCAUCUUCUCAGAGCUGAGUCAGACCAGCUGUGCAGGCUAGGAUGCACACAAACACAAAUGUUUCAGACACAAGCCUUUUUUGUUUUGUACCCUCCUUCCACAGCUGCCCAGCACAGUUCAGAUUUACUGGAGGCAAACAUUGCUGGGGCAUAAAAGAUUAAAUGAGAAAAGCUUUGAAUCCUCCAACCUCUUCACUUUGAAAAAGCCCAGCAAAUACCAUGGAAGGAGCUUUAACAGAGGAGGUCAAAAAAGUUCAUCUGGAUCCCUCUACAUCCUAGUCAUUCCUGGGGCUAUCCUUAGAGUACUACUCCUUAGGUUAAUUUAUCGCUGUGUAAACAAAAUAUCCCCCAACUCCUUGUACCACUAGCCUUUCUGAGUUAGAAUAGAUACUCUUUGGAUGAGUGCAGCUGGAGAACAUCUAAAGUUUAUAUAUAGCAGCUAUUGCUAUUGUGUCUGAAUGGUGAGGAAAAGGUCAAAUCAAAAUGAUUUUAUUCUCUCCCCAGUUAGAAAAAUUUCUUCAUCUGCUUGUAUUUGUGUGGGAGUUUGGUCUUUUUUCCUCUUUAAAACUAUGUUCCUUUCAGGAUAUCCAUGCCAUGUUUUACCUCUUCUACAGGUUGAAUCCUCAAACAUUUUAUAAAACUAAGUAGAACACUUCAUUUUCUCAUCUAGUGAAACCUUUUGUUAUCUUAUUUAUUUAUUUACUUUUUUUUUUUUUUCCCCAAAGAAUGUCACUUGAGGGUGCUUUAACUUUUCUGGCUGAUUGAGAUCUUUGCUUUGCAAGAUCUGGUGGCACUUUCCACCACAUGGUCUCCAUUUCUCUAUAUUUCCUGCAUAGACAGUUGUCCCUUCAGUGAAGACCGUAUGGCAACUGCUGAGGUUUUUUACAAUGAAGCUCCAAGCAUACAAAUUUCUGGUUAAUAUCCUUCUUUUUCUUGUUGUUUUUUGUUUGUUUGUUUUGAUUUGUGUUUUUCUUUCAAGAUGGUAUUUCCCGUAAUAAAACACACAAAAUCUCCAUAAACUUAAUUUCAUGAUGAACCUGAAUUUUUCCUGAAGUCUUGCCCCUUCUUAUCCAUUUUCCCAACUUCUUGCUAAAUAUUUUGAACUUAACAUUAAAACCUGCAUAUCUGAGAGAACUUCUUGAGUAAUGUUUGUUUCCUAUAUUCCAUUCCAUUUGUUUCAUAUUUUCACUGUUUAAGGGGCCAGUAGCUUUUGUGACAAGUAUGCGUAAACUUUUUGUAAAGGAAGAAAGCUCAUAUUCUGGCAGAUGUAAGUGGAUUAACUGGAGUCUUAGGUACUGGAAGGAGCCUAAAAAGCUGUCAUUUUAUAUCCCUGCAAACAGAAAUUUUAGUCAACAGUCACAGUUUCAGGGAUAACUGAAAAUAUAUAAUUCAACCAUGAAGUGAAAAUCUAGAUACUGAAUUCCAGCUCUGCGGUCAGUGGAUGGAAAAUCCAAAUCAUACCUCUCAGCCCUGGGAAGGGCUUCCAAGAGAUUGCCAAGUAGAAAAAAAAAUAAAUUAAAAAUAGCCUUGUACAGUUUGGGGCUGAACCAUCUCAGAGGAUACAACUACCUAAUGAUUUGAAGUUUUCUUUGCCUAAGAGCAGAGGUACUGUGUCUUCAGAGUGUCUCCAUGGGCAGAAGAUAGAGAGAGAGCAGGACUUCACAUAUCUGAACUCACCUGUGAGUUUAACACAACAGCAGAAAAUUAGACAUGGGGUUGUGCAUGGCCGGAGUCAAUGAGGAGGCAAGCUGAGGACAGGCAGAGAAUAGGACGAGCUCUUGGCAAAUCAAGAAAUGACCUGUGUUGCUCCAGGCUGCUUCCCUGACAGCUCCUAUAGAGCCAUGCAAAUAAAGUUCCUCCUUCCACGUCCAAGAAAGUAUGUGGCAGAAGAACCUAAAUGACAAUAGGUUUUCCAUCUCCCAGAAGGAAAUCCUGUAGCACCCCAUAGGUAAAACAGCUUUCAAACACUAAAUCCUGCAG